GACGAACGCUGGCGGCGUGCUUAACACAUGCAAGUCGAACGGAAAGGCCCUGCUUUUGUGGGGCUCUCGAGUGGCGAAGGUGUGUGUAACACGUGAGUAUCCCGCACCUGACUUGGGGAUAUCUUCAGGAAACUGCGGAUAAUACCGGAUAGGAGCUCCUGCUGCAUGGGGGGGGUUGGAAAGUUUCGGUGGUUGUGGAUGGACUCGCGGCUUAUCAGCUUGUUGGUGGAGUAGUGGCGAACCAGGGGUUUGACGGGUAGCCGGCAUGGGAGGGUGGACGGCCACCAUAGGACUGAGAUACGGACCAGACGCCAACGGUAGGCAGCAGUGGGGAAUAUUGCACAAUGGGCGGAAGCCUGAUGCAGCGACGCCGCGUUCGGGAUGACGGCCUUCGGGGUGUAAACCGCUUUCGCCUGUGACGAAGCGUGAGUGACGGUAAUGAGUAAAGAAGCACCGGCUAACUACGUG
rnacentral:rRNA from 1 species